AACGUGAUUUUUCUUUUCUGAUUUUCUUUCCUUAUUCAGAGAAAAAGUGCCUCAAAUUGCAUUGCUGGAACUUACCAGGCUACCCAUAGAGGAAAUACACACACUGAAGCACUCCUCAAAUUGCAACAGAUGGGGCCCCCAUCUAAGGUGUGAGUGUUCUGUGCCAGAAUAACCAACUUGAGAAGCGAAGAGUGAGUUUACCAUGGCAAGCCCAUGCAGUGAACCUACAAAAAGUCAACAGUACUGAAUUAUGGCCACCGCCGCAGAGCUGCGUGAGCACACCCAUAUGUGCACCAAAGACUACGACGCCCAAAGGAGUAACUUCGAAGAAAAAAAACAGUAAUGAACAAACUAGGGCCUGGUUUGAAGAGUAGUCUAUGAACUUAAGCAUUAAACCAGACGUUACAAUAUAUUCUUUGUAUACUGUGACGCGAGUUGAUCAAAAGGAAGCUAUUUUUACAUCUUUAACAUUUUCUUGUGUGAUGGUGGCUGCAUAAUUUGUUUACUCAGUUGUUAGCAUUGCUUUCAACUAGCUAACAAUCUCAGUCACUGUGCGUGUGUGUGUUCUACACACAUCUUCUGUCCCAAAGAGGGCAUGCACAUGACAUGAAGCCUGAGGCAAAAUCUCUUAUCAGAUAGCAGUGAAACUAAGAUGAACGGACUGUUCAUUCAGAGUAAUAUUAACACUAUUCAAGUGGUUCUGGCCUUUUAUAUAAUAAUGAAAUACUCAAUUGACACUGUAUGUAAAUAAAGCUAAAAAGUUAAUAA